rnacentral:rRNA from 1 species
UGAGGUAAUGGCUCACCAAGGCUAUGACGGGUAGCGGUUCUGAGAGGAUGAUCCGCCACACUGGUACUGAGACACGGACCAGACUCCUACGGGAGGCAGCAGUGAGGAAUAUUGCACAAUGGGGGAAACCCUGAUGCAGCAACGCCGCGUGGAGGAUGACGCAUUUCGGUGUGUAAACUCCUUUUAUAUGUCAAGAAAAUGACGGUAGCAUAUGAAUAAGCACCGGCUAACUCCGUGCCAGCAGCCGCGGUAAUACGGAGGGUGCAAGCGUUACUCGGAAUCACUGGGCGUAAAGGACGCGUAGGCUGUUUUGCAAGUCAGAUGUGAAAUCCAAUGGCUCAACCAUUGAACUGCAUUUGAAACUGCUAGACUAGAGUAUGGGAGGGGGAGAUGGAAUUAGUGGUGUAGGGGUAAAAUCCGUAGAUAUCACUAGGAAUACCUAAAGCGAAGGCGAUCUCCUGGAACAUUACUGACGCUAAGGCGUGAAAGCGUGGGGAGCAAACAGGAUUAGAUACCCUGGUAGUCCACGCCCUAAACGAUGAACACUAGUCGUCGCGAUGCUUGUCAUUGCGGUGAUGCACUUAACAGAUUAAGUGUUCCGCCUGGGGAGUACGGUCGCAAGAUUAAAACUCAAAGGAAUAGACGGGGACCCGCACAAGUGGUGGAGCAUGUGGUUUAAUUCGAAGAUACGCGAAAAACCUUACCUAGCCUUGACAUUGAUAGAAUACUGUAGAGAUACGGGAGUGCCCUUCGGGGAGCUUGAAAACAGGUGCUGCACGGCUGUCGUCAGCUCGUGUCGUGAGAUGUUGGGUUAAGUCCCGCAACGAGCGCAACCCUCGUCCUUAGUUGCCAGCAGGUUAAGCUGGGCACUCUAGGGAGACUGCCUUCGCAAGGAGGAGGAAGGUGAGGACGACGUCAAGUCAUCAUGGCCCUUACGGCCAGGGCUACACACGUGCUACAAUGGGGCGUACAGAGUGUUGCAAUACCGCGAGGUGGAGCCAAUCACUUAAAGCGUCUCUCAGUUCGGAUUGUUCUCUGCAACUCGAGAGCAUGAAGCUGGAAUCACUAGUAAUCGUAGAUCAGCAUUGCUACGGUGAAUACGUUCCCGGGUCUUGUACUCACCGCCCGUCACACCAUGGGAGUUGAUUUCACCCGAAAUUGGGAAGCUAACC